rnacentral:rRNA from 1 species
UACCUGCAGCUCGAGUGGUAACCGCUAUUAUUGGGCCUAAAGCGUCCGUAGCCGGUUUGGUAAAUAUCUGGGUAAAUCGUGAGGCUUAACUUCACGAAUUUCGGAUAGACUGCCAGACUUGGGAUCGGGGGAGGUCAGAGGUACUCCAGGGGUAGCGGUGAAAUGUUGUAAUCCUUGGAGGACCACCGGUAGCGAAGGCGUCUGACUAGAACGAGUCCGACGGUGAGGGACGAAGCCCUGGGGCGCAAACCGGAUUAGAUACCCGGGUAGUCCAGGGUGUAAACGAUGUGGGCUUUGUAUUGGAGGUCCCACGUGGGCGUCCAGUGCAGAAGAGAAGUUGUUAAGCCCACCGCCUGGGAAGUACGGUCGCAAGGCUGAAACUUGAAGGAAUUGGCGGGGGAGCACAGCAACGGGAGGAGCGUGCGGUUU